UGUGUAGGCGGCUCUCUAAGUUUGGUGUGAAAUCUCCCGGCUCAACCGGGAGGGUGCGCCGAAAACUGGAGGGCUAGAGUGCGGGAUGGGAGAGUAGAAUUCCUGGUGUAGCGGUGAAAUGCGUAGAUAUCAGGAGGAAUACCGGUGGUGUAGACGGCUCUCUGGACCGCCACUGACGCUGAAACACGAAAGCGUGGGUAGCAAACAGGAUUAGAGUACCCUGGUAGUCCACGCCCUAAACGAUGCAUAUUUGGUGUAGGUCAUUCAGUUGAUCUGUGCCGGAGCUAACGCGUUAAAUAUGCCGCCUGGGGAGUACAGUCGCAAGGCUAGAA
rnacentral:rRNA from 1 species